rnacentral:rRNA from 1 species
CUUACUUUAAUAAUAAGAGUGACGGGCGAUGUGUGCAUAUUUUAGAGCUAAAAUCAAAACUAUAAUCUUUUAUUUUUUACUAUCAAAUCCACCUUCAUUAAAAUUUUUAAUAAUUAAAUUCGUCUAAAUAUUUUUAUUGUAACUCAUCUCUACUUAAAUAUAAGCUACACCUUGAUCUGAUAUAAAUUUUAAUUUAAAUUAUUGAAAAUUAUUUUUUUUAUAAAAUAUUCUGAUAACGACGGUAUAUAAACUGAAUACAAAAUUAAGUAAGGUACAUCGGGGAUUAUCAAUUACAGGACAAGUUCCUCUGAAUAGACUAAAAUACCGCCAAAUUUUUUAAGUUUCAAGAACAUAACUAAUACUACCUUAAUAUUUUUUAUUUAAUUUUAAAUAAUA